UACGGAGGGGGCUAGCGUUGUUCGGAAUUACUGGGCGUAAAGCGCACGUAGGCGGCUUUGUAAGUUAGAGGUGAAAGCCCGGGGCUCAACUCCGGAAUUGCCUUUAAGACUGCAUCGCUAGAAUUGUGGAGAGGUAAGUGGAAUUCCGAGUGUAGAGGUGAAAUUCGUAGAUAUUCGCAAGAACACCAGUGGCGAAGGCGGCUCACUGGCCCGGUACUGACGCUGAGGCGCGAAAGCGUGGGGAGCAAACAGGG
rnacentral:rRNA from 1 species